CGGCAGCAUAAAGCAAACCUUCACGUGGUGCUGCUGUUAUUUACUAAUUGCUU
rnacentral:ribozyme from 1 species